rnacentral:rRNA from 1 species
ACUGCGAAUGGCUCAUUAAAUCAGUUAUCGUUUAUUUGAUAGUACCUUACUACUUGGAUAACCGUGGUAAUUCUAGAGCUAAUACAUGCUGAAAACCCCAACUUCGGAAGGGGUGUAUUUAUUAGAUAAAAAACCAACGCCCUUCGGGGCUUCUUGGUGAUUCAUGAUAACUUUACGGAUCGCAUAGCCUUGCGCUGGCGACGGUUCAUUCAAAUUUCUGCCCUAUCAACUUUCGAUGGUAAGGUAUUGGCUUACCAUGGUUUCAACGGGUAACGGGGAAUUAGGGUUCGAUUCCGGAGAGGGAGCCUGAGAAACGGCUACCACAUCCAAGGAAGGCAGCAGGCGCGCAAAUUACCCAAUCCCGACACGGGGAGGUAGUGACAAUAAAUACUGAUACAGGGCUCUUUUGGGUCUUGUAAUUGGAAUGAGUACAAUUUAAACCUCUUAACGAGGAACAAUUGGAGGGCAAGUCUGGUGCCAGCAGCCGCGGUAAUUCCAGCUCCAAUAGCGUAUAUUAAAGUUGUUGCAGUUAAAAAGCUCGUAGUUGAAACUUGGGUCUGGCUGGCAGGUCCGCCUCACCGCGUGUACUUGUCCGGCCGGGCCUUCCUUCUGGAGAACCUCAUGCCCUUCACUGGGCGUGUUGGGGACCAGGACUUUUACUUUGAAAAAAUUAGAGUGUUCAAAGCAGGCCUUUGCUCGAAUACGUUAGCAUGGAAUAAUAGAAUAGGACGUGCGGUUCUAUUUUGUUGGUUUCUAGGACCGCCGUAAUGAUUAAUAGGGACAGUCGGGGGCAUCAGUAUUCAAUUGUCAGAGGUGAAAUUCUUGGAUUUAUUGAAGACUAACUACUGCGAAAGCAUUUGCCAAGGAUGUUUUCAUUAAUCAGUGAACGAAAGUUAGGGGAUCGAAGACGAUCAGAUACCGUCGUAGUCUUAACCGUAAACUAUGCCGACUAGGGAUCGGGCGAUGUUCUUUUUUUUGACUCGCUCGGCACCUUACGAGAAAUCAAAGU